GCGGCGUCCGGGCGGGGCCGGGGCUCCGGCGGGGUCUGCGAAGCCUCCUGCGUCGGUUCCACGUCCGCCGCGUCGCGCC
rnacentral:tRNA from 1 species